AUACGGAGGGUGCGAGCGUUAAUCGGAAUUACUGGGCGUAAAGCGCGCGUAGGCGGCUUUGUAAGUCGGAUGUGAAAGCCCUGGGCUCAACCUGGGAAUUGCACUCGAUACUGCAGAGCUAGAGUAUGGUAGAGGGAAGUGGAAUUUCCGGUGUAGCGGUGAAAUGCGUAGAUAUCGGAAGGAACACCAGUGGCGAAGGCGACUUCCUAGGCCAAUACUGACGCUGAGGUGCGAAAGCGUGGGGAGCAAACAGGAUUAGAAACCCGGGUAGUCC
rnacentral:rRNA from 1 species